rnacentral:rRNA from 1 species
AGAAGAAACUAACCAGGAUUUCCCUAGUAACGGCGAGCGAACCGGAAAGAGCCCAGCUUGAAAAUCGUGGGGUUUCCGCCCUGCGAAUUGUAGUCUGGAGAAGCGUCCUCUGCAACGGACCGGACCCAAGUUCCCUGGAACGGGACGUCGGAGAGGGUGAGAGCCCCGUCGAGUUCGGACCCUGUUGCUCCACGAGGCGCUGUCGGCGAGUCGGGCUGUUUGGGAAUGCAGCCCUAAGCGGGUGGUAAAUUCCAUCCAAGGCUAAAUACGGGCAAGAGACCGAUAGCGAACAAGUACCGCGAGGGAAAGAUGAAAAGGACUUUGAAAAGAGAGUUAAAGAGUGCUUGAAAUUGCUGGGAGGGAAGCGAAUGGAAGCUGCGGGUGCGCCUCGGUUGGAUGCGGAACGGCGAGAGCUGGUCCGCCGCUCAACGCGGGUCGCUGGUCAGCGUGGGCCAUCGCGGCGGGACAAGAGCCGGCUUUCGUUGCCGGCCUAUGCCGUUGCGGUGGCCGAGGGACGAAGCGCGCGCCACUCGUGGCGGGCCUCAGGGCACCUGCGCGCUCGGGACGCUGGCGUAUUGAGCUCUCCAUCCGACCCGUCUUGAAACACGGACCAAGGAGUCUAACAUGUAUGCGAGCCGGUGGGCGGCAAACCCAUUGAGGCGCAAGGAACCUGACAGGUGGGAUCCCCUUCGGGGAGCACCAUCGACCGACCGUGAUCUUCUGUGAAAGGUUUGAGUGUGAGCAUACCUGCUGGGACCCGAAAGAUGGUGAACUAUGCCUGAGCAGGGCGAAGCCAGAGGAAACUCUGGUGGAGGCUCGUAGCGAUACUGACGUGCAAAUCGUUCGUCAGACUUGGGUAUAGGGGCGAAAGACUAAUCGAACCAUCUAGUAGCUGGUUCCCUCCGAAGUUUCCCUCAGGAUAGCUGGAGCUCGUGAAGUUUUAUCAGGUAAAGCGAAUGAUUAGAGGCAUCGGGGGUGUAACACCCUCGACCUAUUCUCAAACUUUAAAUAGGUAAGCCGCCAGGGUUGCUUGGAUGAACCCUGGCACAGAAU